rnacentral:rRNA from 1 species
UACGGGAGGCAGCAGUGGGGAAUAUUGGACAAUGGGCGAAAGCCUGAUCCAGCAAUGCCGCGUGAGUGAUGAAGGCCUUAGGGUUGUAAAGCUCUUUUACCCGGGAUGAUAAUGACAGUACCGGGAGAAUAAGCUCCGGCUAACUCCGUGCCAGCAGCCGCGGUAAUACGGAGGGAGCUAGCGUUGUUCGGAAUUACUGGGCGUAAAGCGCGCGUAGGCGGUUUUUUAAGUCAGAGGUGAAAGCCCAGUGCUCAACACUGGAACUGCCUUUGAAACUGGAAAACUUGAAUCUUGGAGAGGUCAGUGGAAUUUCCGAGUGUAGAGGUGAAAUUCGUAGAUAUUCGGAAGAACACCAGUGGCGAAGGCGACUGACUGGACAAGUAUUGACGCUGAGGUGCGAAAGCGUGGGGAGCAAACAGGGAUUAGAUACC